rnacentral:rRNA from 1 species
CCCUAUACCCGUUAAGGCAUGACGGCCUGUACCCGAAACCGACACAGGUGGGGUGGUAGAGAAUACCGAGGGGCGCGAGAUAACGCUCUCUAAGGAACUCGGCAAAAUGGCCCCGUAACUUCGGGAGAAGGGGUGACACCGCAAGGUGGUCGCAGUGAAGAGGCCCAGGCGACUGUUUACCAAAAACACAGGUCUCCGCUAAGUCGCAAGACGAUGUAUGGGGGCUGACGCCUGCCCAGUGCCGGAAGGUUAAGGAAGCAGGUCAGCGCAAGCGAAGCUAGCGACUGAAGCCCCGGUGAACGGCGGCCGUAACUAUAACGGUCCUAAGGUAGCGAAAUUCCUUGUCGGGUAAGUUCCGACCCGCACGAAAGGCGUAACGAUCUGGGCGCUGUCUCGGAGAGAGGCUCGGCGUAAUAGAAUUGUCUGUGAAGAUGCGGACUACGUGCACCCGGACAGAAAGACCCUAUGAAGCUUUACUGUAGCUUGGUAAUGUGCCCGGGCUCUGAAUGCGCAGGAUAGGUGGGAGGCUUUGAUCCAUGGCUUGCGGGUCAUGGUGAGCCAACGGUGAGAUACCACUCUUUCAGAGCUAGGGUUCUAACCUUCACCCGUUAUCCGGGGAGGGGACAGUAUCAGGUGGGCAGUUUGACUGGGGCGGUCGCCUCCUAAAAGGUAACGGAGGCGCGCAAAGGUUUGCUCAGGCUGGUUGGAAAUCAGCCGACGAGUGUAAAAGCAGAAGCAAGCUUGACUGUGAGACCAACAAGUCGAACAGGGACGAAAGUCGGCUUUAGUGAUCCGACGGUUCUGAGUGGAAGGGCCGUCGCUCAACGGAUAAAAGUUACUCUAAGGAUAACAGGCUGAUCUCCCCCAAGAGUUCACAUCGACGGGGAGGUUUGGCACCUCGAUGUCGGCUCAUCGCAACCUGGGGCUGAAGUCGGUCCCAAGGGUUGGGCUGUUCGCCCAUUAAAGCGGUACGCGAGCUGGGUUCAGAACGUCGUGAGACAGUUCGGUCCAUAUCCGGUGCAUGCGUAAGAACAUUGAGAGGAGUUCUCCCUAGUACGAGAGGACCGGGAGGAACGCACCUCUGGUGUACCAGUUAUCGUGCCAACGGUAAACGCUGGGUAGCCAUGUGCGGAGAGGAUAACCGCUGAAAGCAUCUAAGUGGGAAGCCCACCUCAAGAUGAGUGUUCUCAUGGCUUAAGCCAGUAAGGUCACGGGAAGAACACCCGUUGAUAGGCUCUACGUGGAAGCGCAGCAAUGUGUGAAGCGGAGGAGUACUAAUAGACC